AUGACCCUGCGCUGUGCGUGAUGUCUCCAUUAUGCCAUUGAGCCAAUACUUCAAUGUGCGGGAGCCAUAACCCAUCAGGAGCGAGGCCGCCGGUGAGUAACCGGCGUUACCAUUCCGGGUGGCGGGGCGCCCACCUGCCUCGGCAGGUUCAGAGCAAAACUUGACACACGGCAGGGCGGGGCCACU
rnacentral:other from 1 species